rnacentral:rRNA from 1 species
UUUAUAUGAGAGUUUGAUCCUGGCUCAGGAUGAACGCCGGCGGUGUGCCUAAUACAUGCAAGUCGUACGCACUGGCCCAACUGAUCGAUGGUGCUUGCACCUGAUUGACGAUGGAUCACCAGUGAGUGGCGGACGGGUGAGUAACACGUAGGUAACCUGCCCCGGAGCGGGGGAUAACAUUUGGAAACAGAUGCUAAUACCGCAUAACAACAAAAGCCACAUGGCUUUUGUUUGAAAGAUGGCUUUGGCUAUCACUCUGGGAUGGACCUGCGGUGCAUUAGCUAGUUGGUAAGGUAACGGCUUACCAAGGCGAUGAUGCAUAGCCGAGUUGAGAGACUGAUCGGCCACAAUGGAACUGAGACACGGUCCAUACUCCUACGGGAGGCAGCAGUAGGGAAUCUUCCACAAUGGGCGCAAGCCUGAUGGAGCAACACCGCGUGAGUGAAGAAGGGUUUCGGCUCGUAAAGCUCUGUUGUUGGAGAAGAACGUGCGUGAGAGUAACUGUUCACGCAGUGACGGUAUCCAACCAGAAAGUCACGGCUAACUACGUGCCAGCAGCCGCGGUAAUACGUAGGUGGCAAGCGUUAUCCGGAUUUAUUGGGCGUAAAGCGAGCGCAGGCGGUUGCUUAGGUCUGAUGUGAAAGCCUUCGGCUUAACCGAAGAAGUGCAUCGGAAACCGGGCGACUUGAGUGCAGAAGAGGACAGUGGAACUCCAUGUGUAGCGGUGGAAUGCGUAGAUAUAUGGAAGAACACCAGUGGCGAAGGCGGCUGUCUGGUCUGCAACUGACGCUGAGGCUCGAAAGCAUGGGUAGCGAACAGGAUUAGAUACCCUGGUAGUCCAUGCCGUAAACGAUGAGUGCUAGGUGUUGGAGGGUUUCCGCCCUUCAGUGCCGGAGCUAACGCAUUAAGCACUCCGCCUGGGGAGUACGACCGCAAGGUUGAAACUCAAAGGAAUUGACGGGGGCCCGCACAAGCGGUGGAGCAUGUGGUUUAAUUCGAAGCUACGCGAAGAACCUUACCAGGUCUUGACAUCUUGCGCUAACCUUAGAGAUAAGGCGUUCCCUUCGGGGACGCAAUGACAGGUGGUGCAUGGUCGUCGUCAGCUCGUGUCGUGAGAUGUUGGGUUAAGUCCCGCAACGAGCGCAACCCUUGUUACUAGUUGCCAGCAUUAAGUUGGGCACUCUAGUGAGACUGCCGGUGACAAACCGGAGGAAGGUGGGGACGACGUCAGAUCAUCAUGCCCCUUAUGACCUGGGCUACACACGUGCUACAAUGGACGGUACAACGAGUUGCAAACUCGCGAGAGCAAGCUAAUCUCUUAAAGCCGUUCUCAGUUCGGACUGUAGGCUGCAACUCGCCUACACGAAGUCGGAAUCGCUAGUAAUCGCGGAUCAGCAUGCCGCGGUGAAUACGUUCCCGGGCCUUGUACACACCGCCCGUCACACCAUGGGAGUUUGUAACGCCCAAAGUCGGUGGCCUAACCUUUAUGGAGGGA